rnacentral:snRNA from 1 species
ACCACAACAGGCUGAUGCUAGA